rnacentral:rRNA from 1 species
GACGAACGCUGGCGGCGUGCUUAACACAUGCAAGUCGAACGGUAAGGCCCUUCGGGGUACACGAGUGGCGAACGGGUGAGUAACACGUGGGUGAUCUGCCCUGCACUUCGGGAUAAGCCUGGGAAACUGGGUCUAAUACCGGAUAGGACUCCUGCCUGCAUGGGUGGGGGUGGAAAGCUUUUGUGGUAUGGGAUGGGCCCGCGGCCUAUCAGCUUGUUGGUGGGGUGAUGGCCUACCAAGGCGACGACGGGUAGCCGGCCUGAGAGGGUGACCGGCCACACUGGGACUGAGAUACGGCCCAGACUCCUACGGGAGGCAGCAGUGGGGAAUAUUGCACAAUGGGCGCAAGCCUGAUGCAGCGACGCCGCGUGAGGGAUGACGGCCUUCGGGUCGUAAACCUCUUUCAGCACAGACGAAGCGCAAGUGACGGUACGUGCAGAAGAAGGACCGGCCAACUACGUGCCAGCCGCCGCCGUAA